UCAGCUCAGAGGCCUGAAACACAGGAAAACCUGAGUGGUGCUGAUGAAGGUGGAGACAGAACCUCUCACUUCCCUCAGCUCAAUAACAGAGCACCGUCAGAAACAGGUACAGUACCGUCAGAAACAGGUACAGUACCGUCAGAAACAGGUAGAGCACCGUCAGAAACAUUACAGUACCGUCAGAAACAGUACAGUACCGUCAGAAACAGUACAGUACCGUCAGAAACAGGUAGAGCACCGUCAGAAACAGGUACAGUACCGUCAGAAACAGUACAGUACCGUCAGAAACAGGUAGAGCACCGUCAGAAACAGUACAGCACCGUCAGAAACAGGUACAGUACCGUCAGAAACAGUACAGCACCGUCAGAAACAGGUACAGCACAGUCAGAAACAGGUACAGUAACAACAGAAACAGUACAGUACCGUCAGAAACAGGUACAGUAACAUCAGAAACAGUACAGCACCGUCAGAAACAGUACAGUACCGUCAGAAACAGGUACAGUACAGUCAGAAACAGGUACAGCACCGUCAGAAACAGGUACAGUACCGUCAGAAACAGUACAGUACCGUCAGAAACAGGUACACCACCGUCAGAAAGAGUACAGCACCGUCAGAAACAGGUACAGUACCGUCAGAAACAGGUACAGUACCGUCAGAAACAGUACAGUACCGUCAGAAACAGUACACCACCGUCAGAAAGAGUACAGCACCGUCAGAAACAGGUACAGUACCGUCAGAAACAGGUACAGUACAGUCAGAAACAGGUACAGUACCGUCAGAAACAGGUACAGUACAGUCAGAAACAGGUACAGUACAGUCAGAAACAG